AUGGACUGCAGCUUGAGGAACACUAUUUUGAGAUCAUUCUCAUUGCACAGUGGAGAAUGAGUUGUAGGGGAUCAUGGUGAAUGAGAAAAUAUUAGUUACACCAUUGUAAUAGUCUAGUGGCGGAGGAUGGAACUAAGCUAGUGGAUUGACAGGACUUGUUAAUUAACUAGAAGAGGAGAUGAGAAGAGGAACAUAUCCAGGAUGACCCAGGUGUCUGGCGUAAGCAACCACAUUUAUCUUUCUGAGAAUUACAGCUUUGGGGCAGGGAGGUGUAAGAGUUCAGUUGAGGAGAUAACUGGGUGUAAGGUGUUAAAUAGGUGAGUUGGAGCUUGGGAGAGUCAUCAGGGCCAGAGGUAUAAAUUUAGGAGUUGUCCGCAUGUAGGUAGUAUUUAAAGGCUAGAGGAAUGAAUGAGAUCAUCUGGAGAGCCUCCCACUUUCUUUUAUCCCUCUUUCACUUUUGUUUCCACAAAUUCUCCAACCUGGUUUUCCCUAUUUUAUUUUGAAAUGUGUCUCUCAGCCAACUAUUGCCCAAACUACAGCCACAAUGAACGAGUUGCAAAAACCUUGAUGCGUGCUCUCUCAUGUUUCUCUCUGUUUGAUGUACUUUUUCUUCCACUUGGAAAACCCUUCUUCUCUGCUCCACCCCCAUUUUAAGGACCCACUUAUAUUCAUACUCAACCUUCAGAACUCAGUUUAGGCUCCUCUUCCUGUGUGAAGCUUCCCCUGAACGUCACCACAACCACCUGGACAACCUUGACAACCAUGACACUGUUUUCUAGUUAGUUCUUUAACCUCUGUGCCCCCAUAUUACUUGUGUACCUUCUUUAAGAAGUCUCAGACUGUCCAUAGUGUGCUUAUCACUUGACAGCUGCUCAAUAAAUGUUUGCAGAAUCAUCUCAUCAUAGCACAGUUCAUUUAUAAUCUGAGUCAGAUCACAAACUCUGUCUACAGUGGGCAGAGUCUCCUCUAGACAUAAAAGAGAACAUUUGGGAGACGGGAAUAAUGCGUAGGAACGAAUGAUCAGCUUCUAUAAAAGCUUGCAAAUUCAGAUCUAUUAAGUAUUUCAGAAUUUGAGGAAGAGGUAUUUAAAUCUUGUCUUCCUUUAAAUUUAUUCAUUCUUGUGUUCUGUAUUCGUCCAUCUCUCUAUGCAUGCAUCCAUCCAUCUAUUAAACUUUUACUGACUGUCUGUCUUGGGUUCAGCCAUGUCCUGGGGUGCUGGAGAAGAAAAGAUGAAUUCACUGGCAUAGGAGCUUCCUAACUUCCUGCUCUAAAUUGAAGCUGCUAAGUAUAUGCUUAUAUUAUGCCCGUGAACUGGCAAGUUUGGAGGCUGAAAGGAUUGAACUUCACAAAUAAGAGUUCUUUUUACAAACAUUCCAGUUAUCAGAUUUGGACAACACAAGUAGAAGCCUUGUUAAACUCAAUCUCCGUUGUCACUGGCUGCCUGCUCAUGUUCUUGGAGUGUUGCCAACAGGUUCUAUCUCUGAUUCCAUUCUCAAGGGUGAGCAUGUUUUAUCAAACCAGGAAAGAGCCACAACUCUAGCAACUGUGAGCAACAGAAAAGCUAGAAAAAUGGAUAGAAUUCAAAAGCCGAUUGUGCGGGCAGCAAUGACAGCCUACCUACCUUCUACAGCUUUGGAGAAGUUUACUUUUCUUCUCUUGAACUAUCUACCAGUCUGUAUCUGGAGUGCUUUCUGAAGGAAUUGGAUCUAUACCUGCCUGGCCAAAUAGAGCUGUCAAGGAUGGGGUGUGAUCCAAGCGACUAUUAACCCAGUAGCCUGUUUUCCCAGCAUCUUGGCCGUGUGGAAAUAGACUAACGGUUUCUGCUGUCAUACUUGUAGACAGCUGAACAAUGACAUUUAUGGUUACCAGGAAGAUUGUGUCUUGGCCAACAUUCUAAAACUUCACAUUUACUCAUUUUUUGAUUUUUUUUUGCCGAGCAAAGCAGAAACUGACUGCAGGAAAAUCAGGUGUGUUUAGAAGCAAUUGCCUGCUUUGUUACUCAUUAGGGACUUACAUUAGCUUGGAGUAGAUGUCGAUGCAUUCUUUCCUUAACUGAUUAAAGUCUGGAUUUCUCAUCUCCCUAACUCUGGUAUUACCAAAGAGACACUCCUGUCCAGUGCACAGAUAAUUUCAUAUUGACUGCUGUGUUAGAGACUGGCUUGUUUCAGCCAAACUAUAUUCUCUUCUUGAGUGUAAAUUAGAUUCUCAUUUUCAGACUUCCUCAGUAUGGCUACAUGUCGUGUUCUCAACCAAUGAAAUAUGUAUGUGACUUCUGAGUCAAGGGAGUUAAGAAGCAUGCGUAUUUUGUCUACCUGCUUCUUUCUCAUUUGCUACCUGAACGCAGAAGACUCCAAGGUCUUACAGGAGGGACAUGAGGUGGAAGGUGUUUGGGUACCAGAAUGACUCUGUGGAAGGCCAGAGACUGAUCACAUUUACAUUGUAUUGUUAUAUGAAUGAGAAAUAAACUUUUAUUGAGUAACAGCC
rnacentral:lncRNA from 1 species